AUUGAACGCUGGCGGCAUGCCUUACACAUGCAAGUCGAACGGUAACGGGCCUUCGGGUGCCGACGAGUGGAGAACGGGUGAGUAAUACAUCGGAACGUGCCCGAUCGUGGGGGAUAACGAGGCGAAAGCUUUGUUAAUACCGCAUACGAUCUACGGAUGAAAGCAGGGGACCGCAAGGCCUUGCGCGGACGGAGCGGCCGAUGGCAGAUUAGGUAGUUGGUGGGAUAAAAGCUUACCAAGCCGACGAUCUGUAGCUGGUCUGAGAGGAUGACCAGCCACACUAGGACUGAGACACGGCCCAGACUCCUACGGGAGGCAGCAGUGGGGAAUUUUGGACAAUGGGCGCAAGCCUGAUCCAGCCAUGCCGCGUGCAGGAUGAAGGCCUUCGGGUUGUAAACUGCUUUUGUACGGAACGAAAAGCCUUCUUUUAAUACAGGAGGGUCAUGACGGUACCGUAAGAAUAAGCACCGGCUAACUACGUG
rnacentral:rRNA from 1 species